UACGAAGGGGGCUAGCGUUACUCGGAUUGACUGGGCGUAAAGGGCGCGUAGGCGGCCUUCUAAGUCGAACGUGAAAUCCCCGGGCUCAACCCGGGAACUGCGUCCGAUACUGGAAGGCUUGAAUCCGGGAGAGGUGAGUGGAACUGCGAGUGUAGCGGUGAAAUGCUUAGAGAUUACAUGGAAUACCAAUUGCGAAGGCAGGUUACUACCAAUAUAUUGACGCUGAUGGACGAAAGCGUGGGGAGCGAACGAAGG
rnacentral:rRNA from 1 species